GUAGGUGGCAAGCGUUGUCCGGAAUUAUUGGGCGUAAAGCGCGCGCAGGCGGUUCUUUAAGUCUGAUGUGAAAGCCCACGGGCUCAACCGUGGAGGGUCAUUGGAAACUGGAGAACUUGAGUACAGAAGAGGAAAGCGGAAUUCCACUUGUAGCGGUGAAAUGCGUAGAGAUGUGGAGGAACACCAGUGGCGAAGGCGGCUUUCUGGUCUGUAACUGACGCUGAGGCGCGAAAGCGUGGGGAGCAAACGGGAUUAGAUACCCUGGUAGUCCACGCCGUAAACGAUGAGUGCUAAGUGUUAGGGGGUUUCCGCCCCUUAGUGCUGCAGCUAACGCAUUAAGCACUCCGCCUGGGGAGUACGGCCGCAAAGGCUG
rnacentral:rRNA from 1 species